rnacentral:rRNA from 1 species
ACAAAGGACCAUACCACCCUGAACGUGACUGAUCCCAUCUGAUCUCUGAAGCUAAGUAUGGUUAGGCCUGGUUAGUACUUAGAUGGGAGAAUAAAGGACUUUUUAA